rnacentral:rRNA from 1 species
AUCCUACGGGGGGCAGCAGUGGGGAAUAUUGCACAAUGGGGGGAACCCUGAUGCAGCAAUGCCGCGUGAAGGAUGAAGGUUUUCGGAUUGUAAACUUCUUUUGUACGGGACGAAGAAAGUGACGGUACCGUAAGAAUAAGCCACGGCUAACUACGUGCUAGCAGCCGCGGUAAUACGUAGGUGGCAAGCGUUAUCCGGAUUUACUGGGUGUAAAGGGCGAGUAGGCGGGAUUGCAAGUCAGAUGUGAAAACUAUGGGCUCAACCGAUAGAGUGCAUUUGAAACUGUCAGGCUGGAGUGCAGCAGG